UACGUAGGGUGCGAGCGUUAAUCGGAAUUACUGGGCGUAAAGCGUGCGCAGGCGGUUUUGUAAGCCAGAUGUGAAAGCCCCGGGCUUAACCUGGGAAUGGCAUUUGGGACUGCAAGGCUGGAGUGUGGCAGAGGAGACUGGAAUUCCUGGUGUAGCAGUGAAAUGCGUAGAUAUCAGGAGGAACACCGGUGGCGAAGGCGGGUCUCUGGGCAGUAACUGACGCUGAGGAGCGAAAGCGUGGGGAGCGAACAGG
rnacentral:rRNA from 1 species